AUUGAACGCUGGCGGCAUGCCUUACACAUGCAAGUCGAACGGCAGCGCGGGCUUCGGCCUGGCGGCGAGUGGCGAACGGGUGAGUAAUGCGUCGGAACGUGCCCUGGAGUGGGGGAUAACUAGUCGAAAGAUUAGCUAAUACCGCAUACGAUCUACGGAUGAAAGUGGGGGACCGCAAGGCCUCAUGCUCCUGGAGCGGCCGAUGUCUGAUUAGCUAGUUGGUGGGGUAAAAGCCUACCAAGGCGACGAUCAGUAGCUGGUCUGAGAGGACGACCAGCCACACUGGGACUGAGACACGGCCCAGACUCCUACGGGAGGCAGCAGUGGGGAAUUUGGGACAAUGGGGGAAACCCUGAUCCAGCAAUGCCGCGUGUGUGAAGAAGGCCUUCGGGUUGUAAAGCACUUUUGUCAGGAACGAAACGGCGAGGGCUAAUAUCUCUUGCUAAUGACGGUACCUGAAGAAUAAGCACCGGCUAACUACGUGCCAGCAGCCGCGGUAAUACGUAGGGUGCAAGCGUUAAUCGGAAUUACUGGGCGUAAAGCGUGCGCAGGCGGUUGUGCAAGACAGAUGUGAAUUCCCCGGGCUUAACCUGGGAAUGGCAUUUGUGACUGCACGGCUAGAGUGUGUCAGAGGGGGGUAGAAUUCCACGU
rnacentral:rRNA from 1 species